GCGGGAGAACCGAGGGCCGGGGGGAGAACGAAAGACGGGGGAAAAAAGGGCGAGACGUGGCGGAGAAACAAAAUCAACAUGGAAGUUGCCUUUUCUCCAUUCAAGUUUCCUCCGCUGCCCUCCCAACCCUCCACUUCUUACAUAACUCACCUUCGGGCGGACCGGAGGAAUUCUUAUUUCAUUGUUCCCAGCAUCUUCUGGGACCGGGACGCGGCUCCUUGAGGUGCUCCAGCCUCCUGCAGUCCUCUAUCCAAAAGGAGGCGAGAGUGGCAUCUCUACCCAGCAAAGGGGGUACCAGCUCUGCUGCCAGUGCCAUAUGGUUGGCACGUCAUGCGCGAGAGCUAUCACAUGAGAGCUAAUGAUUGACAUGCGCUUGCAUUCAGGGAGAUUUGUCUCUCUGGGGAAGGAGGACUCGCCAUCUGUCACUCUGUACUCAAAAAAAAAAAAAAAAACAAAAAAACCCACAAAAAAAAAAAAAAAAAAAGAAAAACCACCACACAACCCUUCUUCCAAAUCUACAGCUCUGCCUACACGCCGCAAAAUGGGACCCGGGCGAGAUGCAGGCGAUGGCGGGGCCGGGCUGAACAAUGGAGCCAGCGGCAGGGCGGCGGGGGAGACCGGCCAUCCCGGCCAGGCCGAGCGUGUCAGGGGCAGGCGGCGGGCACCGGGGCGAGGGGGGAGACGCCGCGGGGGACCUUGGCUGGGAGCUGGCAUCUGCGGCUCGCCGCAAAAUACCGCGGCGGCUCGCCCGGGUUCCGUCCCCACCCUCAGCCACCAGCCCAGCGGGGACGGAUGCGGCGCUGAGGGCCUGGCGCGGGCUGGGGGCUGCGGGCGGGCAGGGCCUGGGGGAGCUGGUGGUGGUGGUGCCCAGUUUGGUGGCACCGGCACGGGCAGGGGGGCUGCCGGAGCGGGUGUGGGCAGAGCUGGGGUCUGCGGGGCCGUGGGUCCCCGUGUGGGUGGCACGUGGCCCCUAUGGUUGCCCGCCGCCCCAUGGCACCCCCUCGGUGUGCCACCCCAGCCUCUCUCCGCAGCCCGGCGCGCACAGAGGCAGCCAGCCUUGGGCACACUCCUACGUGCACACACGCGCACACUUGCACACACAUGCACACGCGCGGCCUCCUCUGCACACGCAGUGGGGGGGGGGGGGGUGUCAAACCCCCCACGGAUGCGUGUCCCAGGGUGGCGGUGGCCCUGCCAUGCUGUGGCACCGCCGGCGAGGCCUUUGUCUGCCAGGCGCCUCCUUGCCUGCCGCAGCCCCACGCCGUGGCCCGGCAGCGCCCCGUCACCCCCCGGCCUCCAAAUCUGUCCCCGUCACAGGGCACGUGCAGCCAGGAAUCACGGUUGCCAUUUCCCGUGUGCCUGCAAACCGGCAGCGGGCAACCACGGGGGCGAGGAACCCCGGGAAGGGGUGCGUUGUGGCCCCGGGAGCCCACCCGGUGACCCGUUCCCGGCUGCAGCCAUCGGGGUUGAGCCACGGGAUGUCCCCGUGUCCUCCACCCCCUCUGUCCCCACAAAC
rnacentral:lncRNA from 1 species